UAUCCUAUAUAAAUGGUAAAAUAAGCAAAAGAAAUUUUCUCAAAGUUCUAUUGAGAGUCUUAGCUAUCACUACAAACUAUCACUAUUAUAUAACAUCUUAUCACUCUUUAAAAUAAAAUAUUUCUUUUGGUGGGAUAACUAAUAUUGAAACAAUAUAUCUCAUUAGUAAUUCAAUCUAAUAUGCUUAAACUACACGUAUUAGAUUCAUUUAUCGUAG
rnacentral:lncRNA from 1 species